rnacentral:rRNA from 1 species
CGUGGGUAACCUGCCCAAGAGAUCGGGAUAACACCUGGAAACAGAUGCUAAUACCGGAUAACAACAGAUGAUGCCUAUCAACUGUUUAAAAGAUGGUUCUGCUAUCACUCUUGGAUGGACCUGCGGUGCAUUAGCUAGUUGGUAGGGUAACGGCCUACCAAGGCGAUGAUGCAUAGCCGAGUUUAGAGACUGAUCGGCCACAUUGGGACUGAGACACGGCCCAAACUCCUACGGGAGGCAGCAGCG